rnacentral:rRNA from 1 species
AUUGAACGCUGGCGGCAGGCCUAACACAUGAAAGUCGAGCGAGCGGCGGACGGGUGAGUAAUGCCUGGGAAUUGCACAGUCGAGGGGGAUAACAGUUGGAAACGAAUGCUAAAACCGCAUACGCACGGAUUGACCAGGUGGGAGUAGCUAGUUGGUGAGGUAAUGGCUCACCAAGGCGACGAUCCCUAGCUGGUAUGAGAGGCUGAUCAGCCACACUGGAACUGAGACACGGUCCAGACUCCUACGGGAGGCAGCAGUGGGGAAUAUUGCACAAUGGGCGAAACCCUGAUGCAGCCAUGCCGCGUGUGUUAAGACGGCCUUCGGGUUGUAAAGCACUUUCAGCGAGGAGGCGGUACUCGCAUAAGAAGCACCGGCUUACUCCGUGCCAGCAGCCGCGGUAAUUC